rnacentral:rRNA from 1 species
GACGAACGCUGGCGACGUGCUUAACACAUGCAAGUCGAACGGAAAGGCCCUGCUUUUGUGGGGUGCUCGAGUGGCGAACGGGUGAGUAACACGUGAGUAACCUGCCCUUGACUUUGGGAUAACUUCAGGAAACUGGGGCUAAUACCGGAUAGGAGCUCCUGCUGCAUGGUGGGGGUUGGAAAGUUUCGGCGGUUGGGGAUGGACUCGCGGCUUAUCAGCUUGUUGGUGGGGUAGUGGCUUACCAAGGCUUUGACGGGUAGCCGGCCUGAGAGGGUGACCGGCCACAUUGGGACUGAGAUACGGCCCAGACUCCUACGGGAGGCAGCAGUGGGGAAUAUUGCACAAUGGGCGGAAGCCUGAUGCAGCAACGCCGCGUGCGGGAUGACGGCCUUCGGGUUGUAAACCGCUUUCGCCUGUGACGAAGCGUGAGUGACGGUAAUGGGUAAAGAAGCACCGGCUAACUACGUG